AUACGGAGGAUCCGAGCGUUAUCCGGAUUUAUUGGGUUUAAAGGGAGCGUAGGCGGGCGCUUAAGUCAGCUGUGAAAGUUUGGGGCUCAACCUUAAAAUUGCAGUUGAUACUGGGUGCCUUGAGUGCAGUAUAGGCAGGCGGAAUUCGGGGUGUAGCGGUGAAAUGCUUAGAUAUCACGAAGAACUCCUAUUGCGAAGGCAGCUUGCUGGAGUGUAACUGACGCUGAUGCUCGAAAGUGUGGGUAUCAAACAGGAUUAGAUACCCUGGUAGUCCACACAGUAAACGAUGAAUACUCGCUGUUUGCGAUAUACUGCAAGCGGCCAAGCGAAAGCGUUAAGUAUUCCACCUGGGGAGUACGCCGGCAACGGUGAAACUCAAAUGAAUUGACGGGG
rnacentral:rRNA from 1 species